CUGCUUCUUUUUCUCCAAUAAUCUUUGACAGUGUGAUACAGAAAGCGACCCAGAGGAGCAGGCCUCCAUUGAUGACCUCGAACAGUCAUUCACUGUCUCAACCAGCAAAGCCUCGGGACCCAUUGGUGCAUUAAACGGGAGCUGUGAAGCCAAACUCUCUGUGAUCUCUAAAGUCUCUGGCCUGGAACGGAGCCAGGAGCGUAACUAUGAGGCUGACCGGGACUCCCUGCUAGUGCCUUUCCUGCCUAAGGAACCCCCUUCUCAGGCAGCUACUGCCCCUAUUCUGGCUCAGGCCUUGCCGCCAACUCCUCCUGCCCCACCUCCUGUCAAGACUCGGGCUCAGACACCUAACACUGUUCGUGGGACGCCCCAGCCCAAAGGCCAGCUGCCUCCCAUGCCUCAGGGUGGAGCAGUUACCCACAGCCUUGCCCAGAGCCAACUGCACAUGAAGGU